UGAUCUGAGUUGGCUUGUAUUGUGGCAGAAAUGGAGAAAAUGGGAUGAGAAAGAGUCCGAGGGGUGUAGCCCCAGGUUUUUACUGCUUGUGUGUUGUGGCUGCCCUGACUCCGUUUGCGGGGGUGGGGGGUGGGGGGGGGAAGGCAUGCCACCCCUGGUGUCUCCUGUCCCCACCACCGGGGAUCGCACUGAUGCCGCGAGCCGUUGACCGACUUCCAGCACAAGCAUGGCGCCUUCCAGUCAGAGGUUUUUGCCUUAGGAUGUUCUGCGACGGGCUUUUGGAAGCCAGGCCCGGCGGUUGUCACUCAUGGGCGACGUAAGCACCUCCUCUCAGGCCCCUUACCGUCUGGUGGAGGAGAUUUGAGUUAGCAGGACGCAGUGAUCGGUAAAUGCGGGAGACUUCAGGUGGCUCCUAGGAAAACAGCCUCAGAGCAGAGAGGAGCAGAGGACGCCGGCUCUUCAGGGAGAGAUGGAGGCCGGGGGAGCCGAGGGACCCGCUGGGAGCCCGGCGGCAGCACAGAGCAGAGUCAGGACGAGCCCCCAGUGCUGGGCCUGUCCUGCCACACCGCACUGCCUCCCGGGGACCCCUCAGAGACCCCCGUUCAGGGUGACCGCUGAGGACAGCAGGGCAGACAGGCAACGGCACCGGGUCUGGAGGGACUUUAGCAGAAGGAAACGGGGAUGCCCGGGGUCGGUCGUCACAGAGGAGAUGACGCCGUCUGAGCACAUCGAAGCCUUGCGGGCGGCGAGUAACUCAAGAAACUGGGAAAGCGGGCCAGGGAGGGCAUCUUUAACAACCAGCGCGUGCGCGCGCCCCACCUCUGUCUCUUGGCCACGUGCCACCGAGUCUCAUCCACGGGUGGAAUUUGUCUCAGAGAAGAUAAAAAUUGUGUUUGAAGAUGACUUGUGAUGCACGAAGUGGUUUUGUCUCACACGUAAAUACAGAUUUAAGGUGAUAUUAACUGAAGACUCUGAGUGGAGAAGAUUGGGUCUGCAGGCUGAGAUGGAGAUCUCCUGGGCAGGAGUGGGAGACCUGAGUUCUUGUCCUGAUCCUGGCGGGAACCAGUCCCCUCUGUUCCACCAAGCGAGAGCCUCAAGUCCUGCUCUGCCCACGCGGGAGGAUGUUCUGUCAGAGGAGCGCAAGUUUGCACAAGAGUUUUGAAAACCCCAAAGCACUAGACAGAUAUAAGAGAUUUCCCCUUUGGUUUUCUUUUCUUUUGUCUCUGACGAAAAUUCAGCAUCAUCACUUGUUAAUUGGCCAGUAAGAUCACAAUCAGUAAGAUGCACAAUCCUACUUUUCUUUCCCAGAAGAUUAAUACGCAGCUGUAGAUUUCAGGAUCAUUUAAAGCGUUCUUUGAAAAUCUGACCCUUCAUAACAGACAGACGCUCCCAGAAAACAAUAACAAUGAAAUAAUAACAAUAAUGACAACAAUAAAUGCUAAAAAUGGAAACGGGCACCUUACAAUGACAGCUUAACUGUUGGUGAAGAAAGGAAGACUUUCUUAGAAAGACAUUUCUUCCCGUUCAAAAUGUAGACCUGAGCGUUUAACUAGGAAGGAA